UUGGAGGGCAAGUCUGGUGCCAGCAGCCGCGGUAAUUCCAGCUCCAAUAGCGUAUAUUAAAGUUGUUGCAGUUAAAAAGCUCGUAGUUGAAUUCCGGGAUCAGUACGCCGGUCGUGCCUCCGGUAUGUACUGGUGUCACUGAUUCCUCCCUUCUGAAGAACCAUCAUGCCAUUCACUUGGUGUGGUGGGGAAUCAGGACUGUUACUUUGAAAAAAUUAGAGUGUUUAAAGCAGGCUCACGCUUGAAUACAUUAGCAUGGAAUAAUGAAAUAGGACGUUGAUCCUAUUUUGUUGGUUUCUAGGAUUGACGUAAUGAUUAAUAGGGAUAGUUGGGGGCAUUAGUAUUCAAUUGUCAGAGGUGAAAUUCUUGGAUUUAUUGAAGACUAACUACUGCGAAAGCAUUUGCCAAGGAUGUUUUCAUUAAUCAAGAACGAAAGUUAGGGGAUCGAAGACGAUCAGAUACUGUCGUAUUCUAACCCUAAACCUUGCCGGACUAGGGAUCCGCAGGAACGUAAAUUUUGCC
rnacentral:rRNA from 1 species